GACGAACGCUGGCGGCGUGCUUAACACAUGCAAGUCGAACGGAAAGGCCCCGCUUUUGUGGGGUGCUCGAGUGGCGAACGGGUGAGUAACACGUGAGUAACCUGCCCUUGACUUUGGGAUAACUUCAGGAAACUGGGGCUAAUACCGGAUAGGAGCUCCUGCUGCAUGGUGGGGGUUGGAAAGUUUCGGCGGUUGGGGAUGGACUCGCGGCUUAUCAGCUUGUUGGUGGGGUAGUGGCUUACCAAGGCUUUGACGGGUAGCCGGCCUGAGAGGGUGACCGGCCACAUUGGGACUGAGAUACGGCCCAGACUCCUACGGGAGGCAGCAGUGGGGAAUAUUGCACAAUGGGCGGAAGCCUGAUGCAGCAACGCCGCGUGCGGGAUGACGGCCUUCGGGUUGUAAACCGCUUUCGCCUGUGACGAAGCGUGAGUGACGGUAAUGAGUAAAGAAGCACCGGCUAACUACGUG
rnacentral:rRNA from 1 species